GAUCUAAAAGAGGCCAGUCAUGUCUCCAAGUUCUCCUGGAGUAGUUCCUACUAUUUAAUAGGCACAUCAAGAAGGAGUUAAGGAGAUGUCCUGUUGUACCUAAAUAUUGGAGAAAAUACAGUAUAAGACUAAAUAUAAGAAAACUGAGUGGACACCUCAGCAUUAAACAAGGACGCUAGAUGUGGAUGUAUAUAUUUUUCAGAUUUACCGGAAUUCAGUUGUGUUCUUCUGGCUAGCUGGCAGUGCACUUGGUGUAGAGCUUCUUCCUAUUGGUGGCCAUAACUAACACAAGAGACUGUUAUGUGUUUCCAGGGGGCGUGCAAGCCAAGUCAUCACUGGGACAGAGCUGUCAUCACCUGAUCCUGAGGUCCACUCCUCCUUACCUGUGGGUUCCACCUACCUGGACCAGUCCGGAGCUGUCCUGUCGUCGUGAGCAUCCUCAGAGCUGCAAGACAUGGUCAGCUCCAUUCCUGGAGCUGGGCCAACGCUCCAUUCCCAAAUAAACUGCCUCCAUGACUGAAGCCUUCAGAAGAACUGAAGAAGCCCAGAAGCUAUGCAGUUGCUGAGGUUUAUUAUUCUGAGGUGCCUCCUCACGACGCCUGGGCUGCUGCCACAAAAACUUAAUUUUGGAAACUGAGGAUUGAAGUGUUUAUUUGGAGGGGGAAAAAGAGAUGCAUAAAAUUGCAUGGAUUUUGGAAAAACAGCUGAAGAAAAAAGCUAUACAAGAGGAUUGCGUGGUCUUGUGUGGUUUUGAGAUGGGCAUCACAUGCUAUAAGUAUACAAGUAUACUUAGCAUGCUUCCUGGAUGCUAGCAAGCAGGGGAGUUGAGCGGGAGAUCCCCCGCUGAAGAAUGAGCAAUCACUACUUCUUGGGGUUUCAAAAGGAACACAUAAGAGCAUGAGAUGUUGUAGAUAUAGGAUGGCUCAUUCAAAUGUGAUAUUAUCCAUUACUCAUCCAGGGAACACCCGGUAAAAAAGGGACCCUGGUGGCUCCGGUCAACACUGCUGAUCCAGCCGCUAAAAGUCCCAUCAGCGGUGCAGAGGGACCAAGGCAGGCUCCAUGGCUCCUCUGGCUCCACAUGGCUCCUGGAAGUGGCCACCUAAGGACUGCUCCUAUGAAGAUGCUCCAUAAAGUUUGUUUCUGAACAAACUUGAUUCUGUCACUCUGAGAGGAAAAGAGAGCAACCCUUCAUGACUGUGCAAGAGUUUAGCACUGGUACCUGUGUAGCUCCUACUUUAAAAUACAUCUGCAAUGGAGAAUCCACCAGGCCGUAUCUGAUCAUGCCAAGUUUCCCUGAACGAUUUGAGUUCCAGAGAACAUUUGCCUUUGACUCUGUUCCUCAAGAUAUAGGACAGAUCGGGUUAAAACCAGCUCCUCCAAAAACAUCUUCUCCUAAAGAAACUGAAAAAGCUAGUCAGUGUCAGUGUAUAUGAAUACAUGUUCACAUUACAACAGUUGUUAUAUUGUGUUGUAGAAAGUAGUUGGAAAAUAAGGACACAAUAUAAGGUAGCUGCAAGAAAUAAAUAUUAAUUCAUUGCAAAGGGACUAAAAGGAAGCAGAAUACUAUGAAAUACAGGUAUUCCAUUUCACCCUGUGAGUAGAGUAUAUGUAACUCUAAAAGUUUAAAGCAUACCGUAUCUUGGUAAGUAAAGAUUUCCAUUGUACAGAGCUCCUUCACAAAUAUAUGUAUAUAUAUUA